rnacentral:lncRNA from 1 species
ACUAGAAAAUCUUGAAAGUUCCAACAUAACAACACCCGAGCUUUCGGUUCUCCAUCUCGUUAUUUAAUGACCGAUUCAUCGGAAAAACCCUCAGAUAUCAAAAAGAAACCUAAAAGAACUGUUACUGAUGGCGGAUAAACACAAUCCAACACAGAUCCCAUCACCAUUAUCUGAGAGGUUAUAUCUUCUUGGAUAGACAUAAACGGUUCAAGAUAAAAAUGAUGAACCAGAAACCCUAAGCGAAAAGAUAACAAGGUUUAAUUGGAGAGACAGUAUGCAAAGAAGAAGCAAACCUGAGAAGAACAAUGUUUAAGGCGUUUAUUUUUAAGAUCGCCGAGCACUCGAGAAGAAUCAAUCAGAUAAGCAAGAGAAGUAUUGCGCAAAUCAGAAAGCAAUAGAGAAAAAUUGAUCAGAAAGCAAUAGGGCUAUUUUGAGAGAGAGGGAGGGAGGAUGUCAGUUCAGAGUGGCGGAGAAGCAGAAGCUUAUAUAACGUUCGAGUCCGCUUUCGUGUUUGGAAAGUCAAAUUG